UGGGGAAUCUUGCGCUAAUGCGGGAAACCGUGACGCAGCGACGCCGCGUGGGGGAAGAAGGCCUUCGGGUUGUAAACCUCUUUCAGGAGGGACGAAGCUACUCGGGUUAAUAGCCCAGAGGGUGACGGUACCUCCAGAAGAAGCCCCGGCUAACUACGUGCCAGCAGCCGCGGUAAUACGUAGGGGGCAAGCGUUGUCCGGAUUUAUUGGGCGUAAAGAGCGUGUAGGCGGCUAGGUAGGUCCGUUGUGAAAACUCGAGGCUCAACCUCGAGCUGUCGAUGGAAACCAUCUGGCUAGAGUCCGGAAGAGGAGAGUGGAAUUCCUGGUGUAGCGGUGAAAUGCGCAGAUAUCAGGAAGAACACCCGUGGCGAAGGCGGCUCUCUGGUACGUGACUGACGCUGAGACGCGAAAGCGUGGGGAGCGAACAGG
rnacentral:rRNA from 1 species